rnacentral:rRNA from 1 species
GACGAACCGUGCGAACGUUCUUCGGAUUCACUGGGCUUAAAGGGCGCGUAGGCGGCUCCGCGAGUCGGGGGUGAAAUCUUUCAGCCCAACUGGAAGAGGGCCUCCGAGACCGCGGGACUCGAGGGGGAUAGGGGUGCGCGGAACUUCCGGUGGAGCGGUGAAAUGCGUAGAUAUCGGAAGGAACGCCGGUGGCGAAAGCGGCGCACUGGAUCCCUACUGACGCUGAGGCGCGAAAGCCAGGGGAGCGAACGGG